rnacentral:rRNA from 1 species
GGUCAAGUGAAGAAGCGCAUACGGUGGAUGCCUUGGCAGUCAGAGGCGAUGAAAGACGUGGUAGCCUGCGAAAAGCUUCGGGGAGUCGGCAAACAGACUUUGAUCCGGAGAUGUCUGAAUGGGGGAACCCAGCCAUCAUAAGAUGGUUAUCUUGUACUGAAUACAUAGGUGCAAGAGGCGAACCAGGGGAACUGAAACAUCUAAGUACCCUGAGGAAAAGAAAUCAACCGAGAUUCCCUUAGUAGUGGCGAGCGAACGGGGACUAGCCCUUAAGUGGCUUUGAGAUUAGCGGAACGCUCUGGAAAGUGCGGCCAUAGUGGGUGAUAGCCCUGUACGCGAAAAUCUCUUAGUCAUGAAAUCGAGUAGGACGGAGCACGAGAAACUUUGUCUGAAUAUGGGGGGACCAUCCUCCAAGGCUAAAUACUACUGACUGACCGAUAGUGAACUAGUACCGUGAGGGAAAGGCGAAAAGAACCCCGGAGAGGGGAGUGAAAUAGAUCCUGAAACCGUAUGCGUACAAGCAGUGGGAGCAGACUUUGUUCUGUGACUGCGUACCUUUUGUAUAAUGGGUCAGCGACUUAUUUUCAGUGGCGAGCUUAACCGAAUAGGGGAGGCGUAGCGAAAGCGAGUCUUAAUAGGGCGUCUAGUCGCUGGGAAUAGACCCGAAACCGGGCGAUCUAUCCAUGGGCAGGUUGAAGGUUGGGUAACACUAACUGGAGGACCGAACCGACUACCGUUGAAAAGUUAGCGGAUGACCUGUGGAUCGGAGUGAAAGGCUAAUCAAGCUCGGAGAUAGCUGGUUCUCCUCGAAAGCUAUUUAGGUAGCGCCUCAUGUAUCACUGUAGGGGGUAGAGCACUGUUUCGGCUAGGGGGUCAUCCCGACUUACCAAACCGAUGCAAACUCCGAAUACCUACAAGUGCCGAGCAUGGGAGACACACGGCGGGUGCUAACGUCCGUCGUGAAAAGGGAAACAACCCAGACCGUCAGCUAAGGUCCCAAAGUUAUGGUUAAGUGGGAAACGAUGUGGGAAGGCUUAGACAGCUAGGAGGUUGGCUUAGAAGCAGCCACCCUUUAAAGAAAGCGUAAUAGCUCACUAGUCGAGUCGGCCUGCGCGGAAGAUGUAACGGGGCUCAAACCAUACACCGAAGCUACGGGUAUCACGUAAGUGAUGCGGUAGAGGAGCGUUCUGUAAGCCUGUGAAGGUGAGUUGAGAAGCUUGCUGGAGGUAUCAGAAGUGCGAAUGCUGACAUGAGUAACGACAAUGGGUGUGAAAAAACACCCACGCCGAAAGACCAAGGUUUCCUGCGCAACGUUAAUCGACGCAGGGUUAGUCGGUCCCUAAGGCGAGGCUGAAAAGCGUAGUCGAUGGAAAACAGGUUAAUAUUCCUGUACUUCUGGUUAUUGCGAUGGAGGGACGGAGAAGGCUAGGCCAGCUUGGCGUUGGUUGUCCAAGUUUAAGGUGGUAGGCUGAGAUCUUAGGUAAAUCCGGGAUCUUAAGGCCGAGAGCUGAUGACGAGUCAUCUUUUAGAUGACGAAGUGGUUGAUGCCAUGCUUCCAAGAAAAGCUUCUAAGCUUCAGGUAACCAGGAACCGUACCCCAAACCGACACAGGUGGUUGGGUAGAGAAUACCAAGGCGCUUGAGAGAACUCGGGUGAAGGAACUAGGCAAAAUGGCACCGUAACUUCGGGAGAAGGUGCGCCGGUGAGGGUGAAGGACUUGCUCCGUAAGCCCAUGCCGGUCGAAGAUACCAGGCCGCUGCGACUGUUUAUUAAAAACACAGCACUCUGCAAACACGAAAGUGGACGUAUAGGGUGUGACGCCUGCCCGGUGCCGGAAGGUUAAUUGAUGGGGUUAGCUAACGCGAAGCUCUUGAUCGAAGCCCCGGUAAACGGCGGCCGUAACUAUAACGGUCCUAAGGUAGCGAAAUUCCUUGUCGGGUAAGUUCCGACCUGCACGAAUGGCGUAACGAUGGCGGCGCUGUCUCCACCCGAGACUCAGUGAAAUUGAAAUCGCUGUGAAGAUGCAGUGUAUCCGCGGCUAGACGGAAAGACCCCGUGAACCUUUACUAUAGCUUUGCACUGGACUUUGAAUUUGCUUGUGUAGGAUAGGUGGGAGGCUUUGAAGCGUGGACGCCAGUCUGCGUGGAGCCAUCCUUGAAAUACCACCCUGGCAACUUUGAGGUUCUAACUCAGGUCCGUUAUCCGGAUCGAGGACAGUGUAUGGUGGGUAGUUUGACUGGGGCGGUCUCCUCCUAAAGAGUAACGGAGGAGUACGAAGGUGCGCUCAGACCGGUCGGAAAUCGGUCGUAGAGUAUAAAGGCAAAAGCGCGCUUGACUGCGAGACAGACACGUCGAGCAGGUACGAAAGUAGGUCUUAGUGAUCCGGUGGUUCUGUAUGGAAGGGCCAUCGCUCAACGGAUAAAAGGUACUCCGGGGAUAACAGGCUGAUACCGCCCAAGAGUUCAUAUCGACGGCGGUGUUUGGCACCUCGAUGUCGGCUCAUCACAUCCUGGGGCUGAAGCCGGUCCCAAGGGUAUGGCUGUUCGCCAUUUAAAGUGGUACGCGAGCUGGGUUUAGAACGUCGUGAGACAGUUCGGUCCCUAUCUGCCGUGGACGUUUGAGAUUUGAGAGGGGCUGCUCCUAGUACGAGAGGACCGGAGUGGACGAACCUCUGGUGUUCCGGUUGUCACGCCAGUGGCAUUGCCGGGUAGCUAUGUUCGGAAUAGAUAACCGCUGAAAGCAUCUAAGCGGGAAACUAGCCUCAAGAUGAGAUCUCACUGGAACCUUGAGUUCCCUGAAGGGCCGUCGAAGACUACGACGUUGAUAGGUUGGGUGUGUAAGCGCUGUGAGGCGUUGAGCUAACCAAUACUAAUUGCCCGUGAGGCUUGACCAU